UUCAUGGAGAGUUUGAUCCUGGCUCAGGACGAACGCUGGCGGCGUGCCUAAUACAUGCAAGUCGAGCGAACCGACGGGAGCUUGCUCCCU
rnacentral:rRNA from 1 species